UCGAUGUUUGAAUGGUAAGGAGUGAGCUGUGGUUUGUCUUGCAUAAAGACCUUGUUUUAUGCUGAGUUUGGCAAUUUGAGGAAACUUAUUUACAAGUUUAUGAAAGAGUUAGUGUAUGAGGCUAUCGAGUUAGACCUGAGACUGGGGGUCUUUGUUGUUUCUUUAUAUUUGUUAUGUUAAGCUGAGUAUUACUGUAUCCAAAGAGCUUCACAAGAUUGACUUUACUGUCUAAAAUAAAGAACUCCUAUCAACUCAAGUCGCAUUGCAUCGGUGUUAUUAAUUUUGAAGUGGUGUCCUGACAAUACAUCCAUCCGAGUGAUAGAGAUAGCAAUUCGCGACAUUAGGAUUAGAUGAGAAGCAAUACCAAGCUGCUCUGAGUAGGCUGAAGGCAAAAGGCGGCUCAUAUCAUC